rnacentral:rRNA from 1 species
CAGUAGCCGCGGUAAUACGUAGGGGGCAAGCGUUGUCCGGAAUCAUUGGGCGUAAAGCGCGUGUAGGCGGCUCGAUAAGUCUGCUGUGAAAGUCCAGGGCUCAACCCUGGAAUGCCGGUGGAAACUGUCGAGCUCGAGUCCGGAAGAGGCAAGUGGAAUUCCUGGUGUAGCGGUGAAAUGCGCAGAUAUCAGGAGGAACACCAAUGGCGAAGGCAGCUUGCUGGGACGGUACUGACGCUGAGACGCGAAAGCGUGGGGAGCAAACAGGAUUAGAUACCCCCGUAGUCCCUGUCUCUUAUAC